GACGAACGCUGGCGGCAUGCCUAACACAUGCAAGUCGAACGGUAAGGCUUCCUUCGGGAAGUACACGAGUGGCGAACGGGUGAGUAACACGUGGGUAACCUACCCUUGACUGGGGGACAACCGAGGGAAACUUCGGCUAAUACCGCAUAACGUGCAUUGCCUCAAGGUGGUGUACCAAAGCUCCGGCGGUUAAGGAUGGGCCCGCGGCAGAUUAGCUUGUGGGUGAGGUAACGGCUUGCCAAGGCGACGAUCUGUAGCUGGUCUGAGAGGACGAGCAGCCACACUGGAACUGAGACACGGUCCAGACUCCUACGGGAGGCAGCAGUGGGGAACCUUGCGCAAUGGGCGGAAGCCUGACGCAGAAAUGCCGCGUGAGGGAAGACGGCCUUAGGGUUGUAAACCUCUUUCAGCAGGGACGAACACAGACGGUACCUGCAGAAGAAGCCCCGGCUAACUACGUGCCAGCCGCCGCCGUAA
rnacentral:rRNA from 1 species